GAGGUCCUAUUUUUACGGUUUUUGUUCCCAGUAUCAUCUGUUAUGUCACAGCAGCCCUGUGGAAGAGGAAGAGCAGAGUUACUGUGCAUGUUGUACUGUGCAUGAAGAAAGUUAAGGCCCAGUGGGAUGAAGGAACUUGUCCAAAACCCAACAGCUUCAAUUUUUACUUUGUUCUUUGGAAAUGAAGACAAUCAAAUUGAAAUGUAUUGUUCUCACAUGUUGUACUUAUAUACCUGGAAAACCCAAGAGGGUUAACUUAAAA
rnacentral:lncRNA from 1 species